GUUGAUGUAGCUUAACUUUAAAGCAAGGCACUGAAAAUGCCUAGAUGAAUUAACCAAUUCCAUAAACA
ensembl:Mt_tRNA